AGGAAUAUAGUCAACUAUGACAUUUGAUUUGCAUUCAAAAAGUGUUUUUUAAAAUAACUAUUCUUA
rnacentral:tRNA from 1 species